GUGAGGAAUUUUCCGCAAUGGGCGAAAGCCUGACGGAGCAAUGCCGCGUGAAGGAUGAAGGCCUAUGGGUUGUAAACUUCUUUUCUCAGAAAAGAAUUAUGACGGUAUCUGAGGAAUAAGCAUCGGCUAACUCUGUGCCAGCAGCCGCGGUAAGACAGAGGAUGCAAGCGUUAUCCGGAAUGAUUGGGCGUAAAGCGUCUGUAGGUUGUUUAAAAAGUAUUCUGUCAAAGAUUAGGGCUUAACCAUAGAUAGGAAGAAUAAACUUUUAAGCUAGAGUGUGGGAGAGGCAGAGGGAAUUCCCGGUGGAGCGGUGAAAUGCGUAGAUAUCGGGAAGAACACCAAAGGCGAAGGCACUCUGCUGGGCCAAUACUAACACUGAGAGACGAAAGCGAGGGGAGCAAAUGGGAUUAGAAACCCUGGUAGUCC
rnacentral:rRNA from 1 species